CGUGUAACCCAACAGGGCCUAAACAGAGCCCUGCUUUGCUUAACACGUAGCUACUCUUCUCCCCCUCCAAUCGCCUCUGAGCAUGAUAAGAACCUUCCAGAAACUUCUGCAACCAACCCACGGACCCCACCGGGCUUCUGCUCCCCUCCGCCGCUUCUGCCGCCGCGCACCGGCCCCGCCGUCGCCCGCCGGCGGCGACAUCUUCCAGUGGAACUCCGCCAUCACCGCCCACCUCCGCGCCGGCAGGGUGGCCGCCGCGCGCCAACUGUUCGACGAAAUGCCGGAGCGGAACGUGUUCACGUGGAACUGCAUGAUCUCCGGCUUCGUCCAGAACCGGAUGCUCGCGGACGCGCGCAGGGCGUUCGACGCGAUGCCCGGGAGGAACUCGGUCUCCUGGGCGGCGCUCCUGACGGGCUACGCGCGGAGCGGGAGGGUCGCCGAGGCCAGGGAGCUCUUCGACCGGAUGCCGGACCGGAACAUGGUCUCCUGGAACGCGAUGAUGUCGGGCUACACGCGCAACGGGAUGGCCGAGCAGGCGCGCGAGCUGUUCGACGCGAUGCCAGCGAGGAACGACGUCUCGUGGCUGACGAUGAUCUCCGGUUACAUCAGGAGGCGGCGUGUCCGCGAGGCGAGGGAGCUCUUUGACCGCGCGCCUUCCCCGUCAACGUCUGUCUGCAACGCGUUGCUGUCGGGUUACAUAGCGCUUGGUUGCUUGAAGGACGCCGAGGAGCUGUUUGGCCGGAUGCAGAGACGGAACCCUGUCUCGUGGAAUGUUAUGAUCACAGGCUACGCGCGGGCUGGGAGGAUGCAGGUUGCGCAGAGCCUGUUUGAUGAGAUGCCCCAGAAGGACACGAUAUCUCGGACAGCCAUUAUGCGUGGGUACUUGCAGAAUGGAGACGUUGAUGCUUCGUGGAAGGUGUUCCAGGAAAUGCCCGAUCGGGAUGCUGUUGCUUGGAACACAAUGAUCGGUGGUUUCGUGCAGAGCGAGAGGGUGGAUGAUGCUUUGAGAUUGUUUGCUGAGAUGCCAAAUAGGGAUCUCGUAUCUUGGAACACGAUCUUGCAAGGCUAUGUUCAACAAGGGGACAUGGCUAGUGCAAAUACCUGGUUUAGAAGAAUGCCAGAGAAAGAUGAGACCUCGUGGAACACAUUGAUCUCUGGGUACAAAGAUGAAGGAGCACUAGCUUUGCUGUCAGAAAUGACCAGAGGAGGACUCAGACCGAACCAAGCCACUUUGAGCGUUGUUAUUUCUAUCUGCGCCUCUCUUGUUGCACUCGGAUGUGGAAAAAUGGUGCAUCUCUGUGCAGUCAAAACUGGCUUUGAGCGCGACGCUUUGGUGAUGAGCUCAUUGAUAUCUAUGUACUCAAAGUGUGGGCUAAUCUCUGAAGCCUCACAAGUUUUCGAAUUGAUGUUGCAGCGAGAUACAGUGACAUGGAAUGCCAUGAUUGCGACAUAUGCUUAUCAUGGUAUGGCUGCUGAAGCUCUGAAACUCUUUGACAAGAUGACUGAAGAUGGGUUUCGUCCAGACCAUGCAACCUUUCUUAGUGUAUUGUCUUCUUGUGCACACAAAGGCUAUUUAUAUGAAGGUUGCCGAUAUUUUAGAAGUAUGCAAGAAGAUUGGAACUUGAUUCCUAGAUCUGAUCACUAUUCCUGUAUGGUUGAUCUCCUAGGUAGAUCUGGUUUUGUACACCAAGCUUAUGCAUUCACAAGAAAAAUCCCAUCUGACCUUCAAGUAAAUGCAUGGGAGACACUGUUUAGCGCAUGUAAUGCUCACGGAGAUGUUCAGCUUGGAGAAGUCAUUGCAAAGAAUGUCCUUCAGGCGCAACCUCCUGAUGGAGGAAUGUAUACACUCUUGGCAAACUUAUAUGCUGCAAAAGAGAUGUGGAGCAGUGCUGCCAAUGUUAGAGGAUUCAUGAAAGAGCAGGGUUUAAAGAAGGAGACAGGGUGUAGUUGGGUUGAGCUGAAGGGCGAGGUUGUUUCCUUCUCAUCAAAUGACAAUACACAUCCUCUAAUUGAUCAGAUAUGCCAGGAGGUUGAUAACCUUUCUGUCAUGAUAGAAGGGGCGACGUGAUACGGUUAUGAAAAAUGGAACUCUGGCAGUCUGUGAGAUCAGUUAAUGGACCUGUUGACUACAAAGUCCAAAAUUUGGGAAAACACUGUCUUUUUUUGUCAGGGGCCGGGGGUACACCCAGAUGAGUUCUUGAAAGGAUAGGAUAGUGAGGUGUUGGAGCCUGUUCAAUUCUUUAGUGAUGACCCCUUCCAAGAUCGUAAUCAAGAAGUUAAAAACAAGACAGUGAGGUUACAAAUUGGAGAUUUCCUACAAUUAGCAGUGGUGUUGGUGGUGGGAGCAUUUUCACUAUAUCAAGGAGGAAUUUAAGAACUUGGUUCCAUGUCUGCGCUGUCACUGGGGACCAGAGCACCCGCGACGUCUUCAGUGCAAAUUUCCCAAGCGAUUACACAGAACUAAUAGUGCAGUGAUUUCAGGCUAAAGAAGCUACAGAAUCAGCUUUUAAGGAUGGAAAACAGCUAUUGGAAAUAGAGUUUCCUACAGCAGGACUACAAUCUGUACCAGGCGAUGGCGAAGGUGGAAUCGAGAUGACAGGAAGCAUGCUUCUCAUUAGAGAAUUUUGCGAUCGCUUCGUACCUGCAGAGAAAGUUACCAGGACCAGAAUUUUCUUCCCUGAGGCAAAAGAGGUUACUUUUGCAAGACAGUCAGCUUUUGAAGGGUGUUCAUUGAAAUUGGAUUACCUAACAAAACCAUCCUUAUUCGAAGAUUUUGGUUUUACAACGAAGGUCAAAAUGGCAGACCGUGUGCGGCCUGAAGACGAGAUAUUCCUUGUGGCUUAUCCCUAUUUCAAUGUCAAUGAAAUGCUUGUGGUGGAAGAGCUUUACAAGGAAGCAGUUCUUAAUACAGAACGGAAAAUGAUUAUCUUCAAUGGAGAACUAGAUCGGAUAAGAAGUGGAUAUUACCCGCCCUUUUUCUAUCCAAAGCUGGGUGAACUUUCCAAGACCUUUCUUCCGAAACUGGAGACCAUUUACUAUAUUCACAAUUUUAAAGGAUCCAAAGGGGGAGCACUUUUCAGGUGUUACCCUGGCCCUUGGAAGGUGCUGAGGAAAGUAGGCGGCAGCUUCGUCUGUUUGCAUGAACAAGAGGAGAUGCCGUCACUGAAAGAAGUGGCCCUCGACAUACUUCCUUCUGCCUAGAAAGUUCCUAGAGUUACCUCUCAGAGAAAGGGGAAAAUAAAUAUCCUGAUGAAAAUGGGGGAAAAUGAAGCUUUCAGUAAUCAUCCAAGGGAAGCAAAAGCCCGCAAGAGUUCUUUCCCAAAUGUAUGUGCUCAAGAGGUUCAUCAUGGUCUUGUUGUGGAGGUCUGGAGGACAUAGAUUUAAGGUAGACAGGAAAUAGUUGAUCGCAGCACAUAUGUAUCUCCAGUUGGUGCAACACUCAUGCCAGGUCAGCUUGUCCUAUCUUGGAAGAUCAUGGUGGACCAGACGAAUGACCUGAUGCACCUGUGGGGAAUCGGAAAAAAGAACUCAUCAAUUAUAUGAUUUUUUUCCGGAGCUUAAACUUGGUACCGUAUGGUCGGUAUGAUAUCAUGGAAUUAGUGAAUCCUAAAUGCCAUCCUUGUUUUUUGUGUGGAAAAGAUGCUUAUAAUGGGGGUGAGGUAACUUGCCUGAUGUCUGUAACGGCAGAAUUAAUGCUUUGAGCACUCAGCGAAACUGCAACAUCUGACAUACUCAUUGGUUUGAUCAA